rnacentral:rRNA from 1 species
UUUUUAAGAGAUUAAUUAAAAUUAAACCUGCUCAAUGUUCACAAUAAAUAGCUGCAGAUUUAUCUGUACUAAGGUAGCAUAAUCACUAGCUUUCUAAUUAAAAGAUAGAAUGAAUGGUUAAACGAAAUACCUACUGUAUCUUAAACUUUAAUCAACUUAAAAUAAUAAAGUAAAAAUUCUUUAAUAUAUAAGAAAGACGACAAGACCCUAACAAACUUAAUAUAUUUAACUGGGGCGGUAAAUAAAAAAAACCUUAAUCAUUACGCAUAACACAACUAAUAAUCAAUAAUUACGAUAAAGUUACUGUAGGGAUAACAGCGCUACUUUAAUUUAAAGAUCUCAUUAAAAUUAAAACUUACGACCUCGAUGUUGAAUAAUUUAACUUUUUAAUGCAACAAUUAAAAAAGCUAGUCUGUUCGACUAAUAAUAAAUUACA